rnacentral:rRNA from 1 species
GACGAACGCUGGCGGCAUGCCUAAUACAUGCAAGUCGAGCGAACAGAUGAAGUGCUUGCACUUCUGACGUUAGCGGCGAACGGGUGAGUAACACGUAAGGAAUCUACCUAUAAGCGGGGGAUAACAUUCGGAAACGGGUGCUAAUACCGCAUAAUAUCUUCUUCCGCAUGGAAGAAGAUUGAAAGACGGCUCUGCUGUCACUUAUAGAUGACCUUGCGGUGCAUUAGUUAGUUGGUGGGGUAACGGCCUACCAAGACGAUGAUGCAUAGCCGACCUGAGAGGGUGAUCGGCCACAUUGGGACUGGGACACGGCCCAAACUCCUACGGGAGGCAGCAGUAGGGAAUCUUCCGCAAUGGGCGAAAGCCUGACGGAGCAAUGCCGCGUGAGUGAAGAAGGCCUUCGGGUCGUAAAACUCUGUUAUAAGAGAAGAACAAAUUGUAGAGCAACUGCUACAGUCUUGACGGUAUCUUAUCAGAAAGCCACGGCUAACUACGUGCCAGCAGCCGCCGUAA